UUUAAUUGAAGAGUUUGAUCAUGGCUCAGAUUGAACGCUGGCGGCAGGCCUAACACAUGCAAGUCGAGCGGCAGCGACAACAUUGAAC
rnacentral:rRNA from 1 species